rnacentral:misc_RNA from 1 species
UACAGAGACUCCAAGCGUUAUUCGGAUUCACUGGGCGUAAAGGGUGCGCAGGCGGUCAAUUGUGUCGGAGGUGAAAUCCUGCAGCUUAACUGUAGAUGUGCCUUCGAAACUAGUUGACUAGAGUAUCGGAGAGGCAAGCGGAAUUCCAGGUGUAGCAGUGAAAUGCGUAGAUAUCUGGAGGAACACCGAAGGCGAAGGCAGCUUGCUGGACGAUUACUGACGCUCAGGCACGAAAGCAUGGGGAGCGAAAGGG